ensembl:ncRNA lncRNA:CR45914 long non-coding RNA:CR45914
AAUCGCACUCGCUCUCUGGCUCGUUACAGUUCUGCUUGUUUUCCAUCUCGGAUCUUAAAUCACCAUCGCCGACGGCUUUUCACACAAACAGAUUGUCCAGCCGCAUAAUAGAUUAGGCUGGUCCUCCGUCACCCGCCUCCACCUCCGCCCCCAACUCCCCCCUGACCAACACACUCCCCCAAUUUCCCAUUUUCCAUUCGCUGGCCAAGUUGCUAAUACGCUUGGCGG